GUAAAGAAAACCGUCGCGCCGUCCUCACGCCCGCAGCCCCUCCGCAAAAAUCUUGACCCGCAGCCCUCCAUCUGCUCGCGCCGCCGCCUCCUCCCCAGCGCUCCUCCUCAUCGAGCCGCCGCCCCCACCCUCGUCCUCCUCCUCAUGGAGCCGCUGCCCAGACCCCCGAUCCCCAAAUCUCUGAUGCCCGUGGAGAUCAAAUCCGCUGCCGCCGCGCGACUCCGCAGUCUGCCGCCGCCACCAGUUCUGGUUCGGGGAGGGAGGGCGCUCGCCGCGUCGCCGGAUGUCCGUCACGCCGCUCUUCCUUCUCCGCAGAUGACGUCUCCCACGCAGCGGCGGCCGCCGCCCUCCUUAGGCGCGGAGGAUGCCUCCAACAGACGCCCGCCUCCCUUACCCGCAGCCACGCUGCCGUUCGUCGCAGCCUGGGACGCCAUCGCGGAGGACGCCGCCGUCGCGCACCGUCCGUCCAUCGCCGCCAUCAUAUCCUGCGCUCUCUCGCCAAGCUACCACCGCGCCGACGCCGCCGCGUUGCACCAUCACCAUCCACGCCCUGGCCAUGUCCUUCUUAUAAGUUUGAGUAGCAGUAGCAUCUAUGUGUGCCUGCCAUUUGUUUGAUGAAAUGCACAUGACGAGUACCCCACCAGGAUGCGACCCUCCUCCUCGAUCGAUUUCGAUACUCAAUUCAUUUCGCCAUGCUCGAUUGAUCUUGAUUGCAGCAUCCCAAGUAAUUCGAUUCAAAUUUGGGCAGGUUUCUUAGGCUGUAGACACAAAAGUUAUUAUAUUAAAGGAGAGAAGUAUUAAGCUGAACAAAGAGACAUUGACAGGAACUGACAAAGUUGAGAUCAACCAACAGAGAAGGCAUAGAUAAGUCAUAUCUGCAACAAGAAGGAACGGAUAAGUCAGGCAGAACAAGACGGUUGAUAUCUCUGUUACGGCCACUAAUUGGUCCCAUGAAGCUUUACACAUCCUUCAAGAAGGGUGGCAACGCGCUCAAGACGGCGCGGGGUGGCUUCGAUCUCAACAAGAUCGUCGACAGCAUCGUCUCCCGUGGGUACACACAGGAAACUUGCUUUUUUGAGAUUUGCAGCAAUAAUGCUGUCUAUGCACAACACAGUCAAAACUGGAAAACAAGAAAUUCUUGGGCGAAUGCUUGUUGAAGCACAUGGCAAGUGAAGUCUUCACUGCUGCCUGCCGUGAAUGAUCAAAGCCUACCAUCAAAGCUAUAGCUGGAUGAUCCUCGGCAUUACUGAUUCAACCUGGAACUUUUUUUUCAGCCCGAUUUGCAUUGCCUUAUAUGGUAUAGGGGAUCUUUUGUUGUUCAAGAUUACUCUUUUCUUUUUCGUACUCAAUAUACUACAUGGUUUCUCAAUUUCUUUAAUACAAUUAGGAAGUGCUCUGCAUGUAACCACAUUCUUUUUGCAAAAGGAAUUUCUCAUGUUUCAGAUUAUGAAAUGGAUAUUUGAUAAGGUAUGGGCGGCUGUCUUGA